AUGGUUGCUGGCCCACAGCGUCAGACUGUUAAGAAACAGCCAGCCCGUACCAUGAAGUGUGAGUAUCAUUUUGCUGCCGCCUCAGGUGUGCUGCGGAACUAUCAUUUUCUUGCUGUUGAAUUGCCUGUACUCCUUUGCCAAAGGCUCGGUGAUUACAACACUGGCGUUCGUGUGAUUCGCCUGCAGCACCUCCUGACCUUGGGGGCUGUGUCAGAGAGCAUGGGGAUGGCUCUGCCAUUCAGCAUGGCCUCCCAAAGAACGGCUGGGGAAGACUGCAGUUCUGAGGACCCUCCCUUGCUGAACAGGCCUUAAGGCUAAAAGCUGUUAAACUGGAAAAAGAAGUCCAGGAUUUAACACCGAGAUACCAGAGAGCCUGUCGCUGAUUGGGAAAACAUAGGGAGAAGAACCCAGAGAUGUGUGGAAGAUGCGAAGAUAUAUGGAAUCCAGGGCUUCUGUAAGGACCAGGAGGAGGUGGCAGACGUUUUGGAGAAGACUGCCAAGUGCUUUUCAGAAGGAGCUGACCCUGAGGACCACAAGCUUACUCUGGAAAAAAUUCUUCCAAGGGCUGUCCCUGCUGGAAGCAAAGCUGCAAAGCGUGUUGACCAAGCGUGGCCUAGAGAAAAUGACAUCCAUCGGUGACAAAUACGACCCUCAUGAGCAUGAACUCAUCUGUCACAUGCCAGCAGGUGUUGGGGUGCAGCCUGCCACCGUGGCAUUAGUUCGGCAAGAUGGCUACAAACUUCAUAGCCGCACCAUUAGACUUGCGCAAGUGGAAGUGGCAGUGGAGUCUCAGAGAAGACUCUGAACAGGUCAUUGGACCCGAACCCUCUCCCAGAGUCAGGCACCUAUGUCUCCUUUAUUUAUUAAGCUGGUUUGUAUUGUACAUGAGGUCCUUUGUGUGCUCCGUUUCUGAUUUAGUCACUUUGGCUAUAUCUCUACAGUGUCUUAUUGGGUUUAUGUGACCUGUUUGGUCUCAUUGGGAGUCCUGCCACUAGGUAUUUGAGCAAUAUGACAAGUGUCAUGUGGCCUUUAUCAAAAUGUUUACAAAAAUCAUUUAAAUUGGUACUCUGAUGAUUGAAUCCAAACUCUUCUCGCCUGUGUUUUCAUCUAACUGCUGGAAUUAGUG